UUCUUUUAACACCUUGAAUCUCUCCAAAUGAAUCUUAAUGCAAAACACUUUUUUUACUUUAUUGCCUGCAACUUCCCUCAAACACGAACACAUUUUCAUCUUGCUUAAUGAGGACGUAAAGCUUUGCAAAAGAGCAGACUGGAACUUGCCUUGUUGCAGCUGUUUGAGGUUUAUUUACUGUUACCGGUUCAAUGUAGCUCACACGCAUAAAAUAAAAGCAGAAAACAAAUGAAUAAA